rnacentral:rRNA from 1 species
UAGAAUUUAACGGCCGCAGUAAUUUGACUGUGCUAAGGUAGCAUAAUAGCUUGUCUCUUAAUUAGAGUCUGGAAUGAAAGAUAAAAUAAAUUCUAACUUUCCUUCUUUAAUAAAUUUAACUUUAUUAUUGAGUAAAAAGGCUUAAAUGCUUAAAAAAGACGAUAAGACCCUGUGAAAUUUCAUUAAUAUAAAAUUAUGCUUGUUCCUUUAUAGAAAAACAAAUAUAAUUUUUAAAUAAUUUAGUUGGGGCGACUUUAAUUUAAAUAUAAACAAUUAAAAUACUUAAUAAAUAAAUUUAAAUUUACACAGAACCUAAGUUAAAGGUAAAUUGACCAAAUUACUCCAGGGAUAACAGCGUAAUUUUUUUGGAGAGCCCUUAUCAAUAAAAAA